ACGCUCACCAUCGCGACCCCAGGUCAGGCGGGAUUACCC
rnacentral:rRNA from 1 species